CGAAUGGCUCAUUAAAUCAGUUAUCGUUUAUUUGAUAGUACCUUACUACUUGGAUAACCGUGGUAAUUCUAGAGCUAAUACAUGCUAAAAACCCCGACUUCGGGAGGGGUGUAUUUAUUAGAUAAAAAACCAAUGCCCUUCGGGGCUCUUUGGUGAUUCAUGAUAACUUAACGGAUCGCAUGGCCUUGCGCUGGCGACGGUUCAUUCAAAUUUCUGCCCUAUCAACUUUCGAUGGUAAGGUAUUGGCUUACCAUGGUUUCAACGGGUAACGGGGAAUUAGGGUUCGAUUCCGGAGAGGGAGCCUGAGAAACGGCUACCACAUCCAAGGAAGGCAGCAGGCGCGCAAAUUACCCAAUCCCGACUCGGGGAGGUAGUGACAAUAAAUACUGAUACAGGGCUCUUUUGGGUCUUGUAAUCGGAAUGAGUACAAUUUAAACCCCUUAACGAGGAACAAUUGGAGGGCAAGUCUGGUGCCAGCAGCCGCGGUAAUUCCAGCUCCAAUAGCGUAUAUUAAAGUUGUUGCAGUUAAAAAGCUCGUAGUUGAACCUUGGGCCUGGCUGGCCGGUCCGCCUCACCGCGUGUACUGGUCCGGCCGGGCCUUUCCUUCUGGAGAGCCGCAUGCCCUUCACUGGGUGUGUCGGGGAACCAGGACUUUUACUUUGAAAAAAUUAGAGUGUUCAAAGCAGGCCUUUGCUCGAAUACGUUAGCAUGGAAUAAUAGAAUAGGACGUGCGGUCCUAUUUUGUUGGUUUCUAGGACCGCCGUAAUGAUUAAUAGGGAUAGUCGGGGGCAUCAGUAUUCAAUUGUCAGAGGUGAAAUUCUUGGAUUUAUUGAAGACUAACUACUGCGAAAGCAUUUGCCAAGGAUGUUUUCAUUAAUCAGUGAACGAAAGUUAGGGGAUCGAAGACGAUCAGAUACCGUCGUAGUCUUAACCGUAAACUAUGCCGACUAGGGAUCGGGCGAUGUUUCUAUCUUGACUCGCUCGGCACCUUACGAGAAAUCAUAAG
rnacentral:rRNA from 1 species